rnacentral:lncRNA from 1 species
UUUUUUUUUUAUUUUGUUAUUUUUUGUAUAGAGCUGUCGAUGAGCCAAACAAAAGUGAGCUGGGGUUGGAUUGUAUUCACUCGUUUAUUAAAUAACCUGAACAUGAGCUGCCUCGUUAAAAUAUCGAACUGAAAAAUUCAGCCCGUGUUAGCGUUGUUUAUUAAUGAACCGAACACGAGCUGACCUGUGAAUAACUAGAUAAAUUUCUACCUUACUACUACUGGGUGAAAAGUUGACAGAAAAAUUAGAAAAUUAAAAUCUUAGUUUAAUAAUAAAAUUUACAAAAUACAUACCUCUUUACAUUUGGAUUGGUCUAAGUUGGCUUAAAAUCCAUAUAUAUACACACACCACACACGAGCUAUAUCGAGCCGAACAUGAAUGAACUGAUCCCAGCUUGCAUGUGGCUUGUUACGAUUUUGAGCUAAAAAAUUCAGAUCGUAUUAAGCUCUUUUCGAUCUCGAGUUCAUUUCGAGCCGAAGGAUUACCUCGCAAACAACAAGCCGGAUCGUCCGCCCUAUUUUUAUACCCUCUGUCUCUGGAGGCCUUA